GUAGGUGGCAAGCGUUGUCCGGAAUUAUUGGGCGUAAAGCGCGCGCAGGCGGGGUCCUUUAAGUCUGAUGUGAAAGCCCACGGGCUCAACCGUGGAGGGUCAUUGGAAACUGGGGGACUUGAGUACAGAAGAGGAAAGCGGAAUUCCACGUGUAGCGGUGUAAUGCGUAGAGAUGUGGAGGAACACCAGUGGCGAAGGCGGCUUUCUGGUCUGUAACUGACGCUGAGGCGCGAAAGCGUGGGGAGCAAACAGGAUUAGAUACCCUGGUAGUCCACGCCGUAAACGAUGAGUGCUAAGUGUUAGGGGGUUUCCGCCCCUUAGUGCUGCAGCUAACGCAUUAAGCACUCCGCCUGGGGAGUACGGCCGCAAGGCUA
rnacentral:rRNA from 1 species